rnacentral:lncRNA from 1 species
GAGUCGUAGAAUUCCUUGUCCAAUUUCCAGAAGUUGUCGACCUUCCACACGUGCUUCUGACUGAUCGCGCCCUUUAUCAUCAACAGGUUCUCUCCUUGGCCAGUGCUCUUUUCCUUCGUAACAGAGACUUCCGCACCGAAGACGCAAGUAUCGUCCACGAGAUAUCCGUUCCGCGCAUCGGUAAGCGUCUUCAGAGGAAUGAAUUGGUCGAAUCCACAUUCGAGCUUCAUCCCGUGAAAGUGCCAUUCCUUUCUCAUGGCAUCUGCAGGAAGGACAAGAAUUGAAUCAAUCCACCAAUUCUUGCUCCUAAUCGACCAUGGACUUUCAGUUAAUUGCUUACACCCAUUAAGAGUAUACUUACAUGGAUACACUGAAUUGACUCAAAGCGUGAAAAGGAAUAGUGUUCCUAUUCUCUCUUACUUAAUUCAGUAUUUUUCUCCCUUAUUUGCGAAAUAGGGUAGCCAUCCCAAAAAGAAGACGCUUAUCUUCAGAGGACCUCAUUUACUCAAUAUUCAUUCUACUGACCAUUGAUUUAUAAUUAUGUUUUGUAACUUGGUAUAAAGGAGAUGGUAUGUUGCUUGAUCAUGCAUGCAUUAGGAGAAUGCAUGUUAACCGUGUGGAACAACUAUUGAAGAGUAUAAAUAGAUGAGAAAGUGAUGAGAUAAUAUCUGGUUUGAAGCUAUACCUUGGAUUAUCAAGUAGUUGUCUUUAUCCUGGUCACGCAGAAAGAAUCUGACCAGAGCAUGAACUUCCCAACCUGAGGGGAGUGAGCUUGUUUCUACCAUCGACAGGUAAAGCGAAACGUGAUCUUUCACGUUCUUGCUCUUGUUCCCAUUCGGGUAAAGAACCAGCUUCCUUUGAAAAUAAGAAAGAAAGGAGAAUCACUGUCCCAAUAAACCCAGAAAGAUCGGUAAAUAAAUUAUGCGGAUGGGAGAAGUGAAGGAUUGUCACCAUUUGUAGCCUCCAGCUUGGAAGACCCCCGACUCAUACUUGCCCACUGAGUUCUUUGAGAGAGAUGAGUAGGAUUGUAUUUUGACGACAUACUGAGCUGGCGGAGUUGCUGACACCAUUCUCUCUACUCCUGCAAAUGAGACACAAGGCAAAAGAUCGAUGCCUGCGAAGCACAUUUUCGACGUUCUUUUGUACAAAUUACGCGGGAGAGAGAGAGAGAGAGAGAGAGAGAGAGAGAGAGUCGCAUACCCUGUAGAUCAUCAAAUUCAGGAGUACCCAUUUGCAAAGUGAAGAGACCGAUGAGAGGAUCCGUGAAAUUUGUUGGCUUGCAUAUGCAAUUUGUUGCUAGCCUUUUUAUAGUUGCUUUACAGUACCGUUAUGCUUUGCUUAAAGAGAGUUUCCUUUUGGUUAUAGAGAUAGUAUCCAGUCCUUGCCCUGAUUCCACUGAAGAAACGUGAAAGCCAAAAACACUAGCACGAAAGAGAGAGUUUAGAUCCUUUCCCUGAUUUCUCUUCUUGCUAGCCAUGGCAUGUUCAUACAUAAAAACGAGAUAUUCGGUAUGUGCAUUUGCACAUCCAAAAGAUAAGUACAAUAGAAGUACUAAUUAUUUCUCAAUAUGCAAUCAAGUCAUGAAACUUCCAAUAACACAAUGAAGUCCUAGAAUUCGUAAAUACAUGUAAAAUCAAAUGUCUACAUAAGGUCCUUGUUUAAGGAAAAUAUAAAAUUUGAUGUGGUAGCUUUGAUUUUUUUUCUCAAAAUUUUUGCAAGUAACAAUUAAUUUUUUUCCAGAACUAAGUGGAUUCAACUCAACAUAAAGUGUACUCCUAUAUCGAAUAUAAGGAUGCGUUUGUUUCACGGAAAAUGAAUCAUCUGAAAAAUAUUUUAAAAAAGUAUCACUUUUAUUGCUUACAAAAAUAAAUCUACUAAAAAUACUUUCAUUGUCAACAAUAAUGUCUAGACAUGUAUUGUUUUCAAAAAUUAAAAGAUUUUCACUAAAUAUUUAUUUCAAAUAAUACAAAAGAUUAUUUUUUAGAAAAAUAUUUUCCAAAUUAUUCAUUGUCUGGUAAACACAACAUUUUUUUUUAAAUGAUUGCUUAUAAAAAUGAAUGAAUGAAAAAAAAAUUCAUUAUCAAUGAAAAUCUUUAGAUAUAAAUUGUUUAUGAUAAUAAAAAAAAUUGUAUUGACAAUUUUUUUAUACAAUAUAAGUUAUUGUUUUAAGAAAAUGUUUUCCUAAUCAUUCAUUUUCCAUGAAACAAAUGCAGCUUAAGUAUUUAUGUCUUUUAACCACAAAUGUAUUGGUAAAUCUCUAGGCAAAACUAAAGGUAUUGGUAAUUUCAUAUUUACCAAGAGUCUAGAUCAUUUGCCAAGAAGAAAGGCGCCGCUAGCUCAUCAUUUCUCUCUCGUUUUCGUUCAAGCCAACAAAUCUGCCUUUGAUUUGAAGGAAUUGUGUCUGGAGAGAGAAGUUGGGAGCGUUGUGUAAUGGUAGGCAUGGCAUAGAUGGUGGAAUGUCACGCAAUUCCAGGUCGUGUCUAAGUCCUGGUUUCAUAAUUCGUUCUUGAGAAAUACUCAAAUGGCGUGUAAGUUAGAAGAUUAUAUAUAUAUUUUGCUGAAAAAGAUCAUUAAGACUUACAAUCCUUUUUUCAUACAACUUUGCCAAAAUAGUACCCAUCAAAACAUUAAUGGAAAAGAUGAUUCUACAUUCUGGACGCGAUAAUUCUCACCCCUCCAUAAAAGGACAACAAAUUUGAGGGAAGAUUAAAGAGACACUUCCUCACCUUAGAUCCGAGAUCCGAUCCAUCGCAGACAAAAUGAAGACAGGCCAUAUCUGGCAGGGGUACAAAUUUCGUCGUUUCAUUGAGAAAUUCCGCGAUAGAUAGAAGACAUUGUCGCGAUGGAAUGAAGAAGAGAAGAAGAGGCUAUGGUUGAACGAAUUCAAGCUUGAACCAAGUUGAAGUUCGACUAGAAGAUUGUCAGGAGUGUGGUGAGACCGUGAAUAGGUGAAGUUGGUUAGAAUAUUCAGUACGCAGCCCCUAAUAGCGGGAAUCAAUUCAAUGCGUAGUUUCUUGCAGGUUGGAGAGAGCUAGCUCGUUCGCCCGUGAGCUCGGGCUUUAACAUUCAAAUAAGCACCUGAGAAUCACAGGUUUCAUUGUGCGCAAGCACAAGCAAGCCCAAGAAUUUGUACAAAGAUCAGACUUUUAUAGAUAAUUGGCAAGAUUGUGUAUCUGGAAACAAUAUUUUGAUGCACAAGAUCUUAAACUUAUUAGAGCAAAAUGACACUGCUGGGGAAGAGAAAGAAUUGAUUUGACGAAUAGCAAGUUCAUAAUUUAUCAGGACAGAGAUUUGAUUUAUACAAUGAUACUCAAAACAAAAUUACAAGAAAAGUACAAUAAUCUGUCUGAAACGAUUGCAGAUCAGGCGAUAGUUAAGAUUUUACGGAGUGAAGAGAAGAAAAAUGCAUGCUUUGAUGCAUACCUUUCAGAUCAGGGUUCAGUUUUACUGGACGGGUUUGCGAACCAGGACCUGCAAAUUAAUCUGUAUCAUAUCAGAGCUGAAAUGAACAUAUUCACAGCAAUGCUACUGAGUGAUAGCGUGAUUGUCAGCAGAAUAGCGACUUCAAACUGCAUCCACUACGCCGAGGACAGUGACCUCUGCUUUGACCACACGAGUAUCCUCCACCAAAGUGCCUGGUGUUCGGAUCAUUGAAGUUGGCAUGAAACAUGAGUCUCCCCCAACUGGACUCCUGGCUCAGGGAGGCUGAACCAGUGAUUAGCUGCAUCACACAGAGCGCUUACAAUGUCCAAAACAAGAAUUCAAUCACUCGUAGCUUGUUUUCUUGAGAGAUGCAAGUUCCAAGUCCGGUUACCUUUCCAGCUGGAUAGAGAGUUAUAUUUUCCUGAAUGAAUGUAAGACACCACAUUUCAGAUUAAUCAAUGUAUUCUUGUUUGCUAGUCUUCACAACGUUAAUGGAAGAAUAAAGUGAGUCACUUGAUAAAAUACGCAAUCCUAUUCCUUCCUGGAAGGACAUAUGACUGAACUUGGUGAGGAUUUUUUAAGAGUUGUAGUUCCAUCUCCAGCGAGAGAACAAUGCAUCUCAUUGUUGGGUUAAGAAUAUAGAUAUCACCAAUAUGAAAAUUUUAUUAAAAUGAAUGUGUGUAACGUCCGUGUUUAUAAACCAUCAACUAGAAGACUGAUCGAAGAAACUUCCUCGAGAAAUACUUGUCAAGAUAGUUCAUUGUUCUCCAUGAUCAGUUAGGAACAUAUCAAGUGAGCAGAGGAGAUUAACAUCAAUUAUCUAGCACAUGCCUAUAUUAGGAAAGUCGAGAGCAAUACCAUUUCUCGUUCCCGGCAACGAACACUUUCGACUCGGAGAAUUCCUUGUCCAAUUUCAAGAAGUUGUUGACCUCCCACGUGUACUUCUGACUGAUCAUGUCCUUUACCAUCAACAGAUUCUCUCCUCUGCCAGUGCUCUUUCCAUCGUCACGAAACCUCCGCACCAAACAUGCAAGUAUCGUCCGUGAGUCAUCCAUUCUGUACAUCAUUAAACUUGGUCAAAGCCACACUCAAGCUUCGUCCAGUGAAAGCGCCAUUCCUUUCUCAUGGCAUAUGCGGAAAGAAGAAGAUUCAAAUCAAUCAACAAACAGUGGCUGCUUAACUAACCUGCUAAUCGAAGAGCUUACUUUUGCUAACAAUCUUAUCAAACUAUAUAAAUAAGGACAAAUGAGGAGAUCUAGCACUCUCAACAGAUUAACUGUUAAUCCUCUCAAAAGUGGGAAGUUUAUCAUGUUACUCCAAGAAAUAAAACCAAAUCUCGACACAUUAGGGGAGAACCACCUGAGUUUGUGCCAGUCAACAUCAGCAUUCUUGUUUUUGACAAUAUCCCAAGCAACAAAAGAAUUAAGGCAACCUUUUGAAGAAGCUGUGCAUACAACUUUGUCUGCAGCCAAGGAACUAGGAAAAAUCAUACCACAAACUGCAGCUUGGAUGGGAACCAACUCUUCAGACCUAGCAACAGGCCAUUUCCAAUGAAAGUAACGAAUUACAGCCAAUCCUUUGGCCUGCAGCAGAAGAGAAGAGUUGUAACUUAUUCUCCUUGAGAAUGAUUCCAGCAAGACCCUGGCAUGGUGCUGCAAUUCAUACCAAAGAGAGACAUGAUCUCCACUACCCACUAUUUGUAUAAUCCGGGGUUUCAAAAUAUUCCUGACUUUUACUAAAUUCUUCCAAGCAUAAGUAGCAUCGGGUUUACAAUCAAGAUAAUAGCUAGAGAGCUAAGCAAAACAUGAACAAUAAACCUCAAUGAAAUACUCCACAGAUACUUUAUAAUACAAGCUGAAUUUGAUACAAAUAAGAUCUCACAAAUCCAGUCUUCGAAUGCCAAGGCCUCCAAAUUGCUUAGGGGGACAGACAGUGUCCCACUUAACUUUUGCUCCCUCUUUAGCAUCAGGAUCUCCCUUCCAAAGGGAAGCUCUACACUUCCGAUCAACCAUUUCAAAACUUUCUUGGGCAACAAAAAGAGUUGACCCUAAUAGUUAACCAGACUAUGAAUAACAGAUUUGAUAAGCUGACCCUGGCAUAUGAGUGGCUUUUAACUGUCCAAACUUUAGAUCUUGUUGUAAUUCGAUGCUUAUAAUCCUUGUCUUGCAGACCACCCAAAAACACUAGAAGAAAGAACCAAACAAAAAAAUCGGGUUGGCUGAUUUGUCAUGUUGUUUGAUUUUACUGCUGCAUGUUAGACAAAAGCAAUGUAUGACUUAACACUCCCCUUGCAUAGAACUGAUCCCCUACACACACAUGAUAGAAUGUGGAUGUAAUCACGUCAAUGGGAUAACCAGGGAAAGGAUAACAAGCGACAUAACAGACAAGAAAUUUUGAAAUUAUUGACAUGUGCUUUGACAAUGCUAGAAAUGAACAAGUAGAAUGCAGACAAUUUGUUGGAAAUGCAACCAAACAAGUACAAUGCGAACAAUUUACUAAUCCUUCAGAAGAGAUUCUUUAUGCAUUAUAAUCAUUCCCCAUGAUCAUUACCUGCUUCCUAAACAGCCAGUCAAAAGAAAAGGCAGAAACAAAUCUACUCACCUUUAAACUUUUCCAACCAGCGACUCCAGGGCUAUGCGUCUUUGAUUCCAUGAAGCAGUAUACGAAUAGUCAUCAAAACGAACAAUGUGCAAUGAUUUCAUUGAAUGCUAUCCAGGAUGCGAAAUGCCUUCACUUGUGUCUGUACUCAAACCGACUAAACCAUUCCUUAAUCUUGGAUCGUGAGUAAAAUGCUGGAUGGAAGGUUUAAGGCGCAAUAAAUCUGUUACCCCCACAGAUCUCGAUGUGCCUCACAGGAUGCUCAGAAAUAAAUAAGACGAUUCCUUGUGUGGGUAUAAGUACUGUGUAUCGUCAAAUUGAGACAGAAAGUCAAUACCGAGUUCCUUCCACUUCUACUGAAUGCUGCAGGUGUAAUUUCUGUAUAUCAGAAUCAGAGAUAUAAGGGACACAUUCCACAAACUUAGUAAAAGUGUUCAAAUGGAGCUUCCAAACUAAAACGGGAAAGAGAAUUGAAAGCAUCUAACUGCCAACUUGCUCUAUCCAUCCUAAGUUUGGAGUUACACUUUUUCAAUGCUAUGCAACUUUCAAACAUUCUCAAACGUGUCUUUUGCUAUUUAUUUAUGAUUUUUGAGAUUUGUCUCGCGGAUUGAAAAAUCAGGGGGAAAAUGGACACUUUUAAUGAACAUGGAAAGAGAAAAUAUGUACAUACCUCUAUUUCCCCGCGAAUAAUUCGAGAACCAACUCUAAUCAUCGAAAGAGUUUCCAUUAAAAGUCAAGAUCUUAAGAACAGAGCCUCCAGUGGCAUCUCCCCUACUUCUCUGCAAUGAGGGGCAAUCUCACAUCCCGAGUCCCCCCCUUCAGCAUCCUCUCCUCCUCCUCCUAGACUCGAUACUGGCGAGGCGAUGGUGAAGGAAAGGUUUACGCACUAUGCCCAUGAACUAAAAGGUUGAAAAAUAAUUAGCCCAUUGUAAAAUUCAAUGGAAGCUAAAAAGAAGGACGAAUAUUUAGAGAAACCGUCGCUCGUUCAGACUACUGAGAUCAAUCUACAACCCGUGUUUAACUGAGGAAAUGCAGCUGACUACUGACUCAUGCCGGACGAAGACUAAUUUCGAGUGAAGAAAGCGCCUUGGAGUAUAUGAGAAGAGAACCCCGCGGAAAGCGUCGAACAAGAUUUCAAAUAAGGAAAAGCGCAAAGUAGAUUGACCUUCGGAAAUACGGAUAAUUGCAGGUGCGGUAGCAGCAGGUCCGGAACGAUCCAGGAGGAAUUAGGGUCUCGUCGAGGUAGACGUCCCCCUUCUUCUUCGGGGGGGCGGCCUCGGGUCGGUUUUCCGGGACGAGUGCUCUCACGGCUGCGACUCGGUGGAGCUCUCUGUGAGUCGAGUGCGAAAGGUUCCGAGUUCGCGGAGAGCUUCAGCUGUCAGCUUCCCAAUCAUGAAAUCAAGAUACGAACCCCGUCCCUAUUCAAAAAGAGCCAAGGCCUCAGAUAUUAAAAAUACCCUAAUCUCUUCCCAUGUAGAAUAUUCAGAGUCCGAAUCCCUUUUUCUCUCAAGUAAUUGACUUGGGGUAGACAUUGCCCAAUGUGACUUGUGGGAUUUCGCGGAUGAGGGGCCAAUAGCUGCCGGUCCCUUUCCUGCAUCGCUUCUCCAUAAUCGGGCAAUAGACUAUCGAGAGUUGUUCUAAGGAGGGAGGGAGGCCAUCCUGGGGCAACUCCCUCAGCUUCGGGCAACUGUGGAAAUAUAAUUUCUGUAGAGAGGGAGGGAGACUGCUGGACAGUCUUUCCACUUUCCCCAUCCACCAGAUUUUGAGUUGGAGCAGAGAGGAAGGGAGCGGAAGCACAAGAUCCUCCUCCUCUCCCACUCCUCCCACGCUGCCGUCGAUCUCUAGGCAUUCAAGGGAGGUGAGGGGGGUAAGCCACUCCCUCACCGGUUGCUUCAUAUUCUCGCAUAUAGACACCUCAAGUUCCUGUAACUGGGGCGGCAAUCCUCCAUCGGGGAAGCGCGUAAUACUCUCACACCUAGUAAUUUCCAGAGUUCGGAGACUCGAGAGUCGAUGCAAUUGAUUAGGUAACGAUUUUAUCUUCGGACAAUAAUGAAGCACAAACAAGGAGAUGCCGAGAGGAAGAGGAGGGAAGCACUCCAGCUCCAGUGCAAGACACUCCCACACACACAAGGAAGUGAGAUGGGAAAGUGUGUCCAACCCCUGUGGUAAGCUUCUCAAGUUCUCGCAAUAGCUAAUAUUGAAAUCUUGAAGUGAUUGAAGACGGUCUACAGGUAUCUCCGCGAGCGACUCCACUCCCCUACACGACAAAAUUCCAAGUUCCUUAAGGGUCGCUGGUAAAAAACUACUCUCGCUGAAUAAAGAGGCUGGUAGAGAAUCACAUCCAAAGAUUCUUAGGUCUUGCAAACAAGACAUCAUGUCACCGUGAUUAUUGGCACUACUGCUUGGUUCAUCUAUAUGAACACUUAAUCCUCUAGGCAAAGAUUGCAACAUCUCGCACAUUUGGAUAGUUAAUGAUAUCAAUGACGCCGACAUACCUGUUUUGAGGAAGGACACGAGUUUUGGACACUCCGUAAUGCUCAAGUCUUGAAGAGAGGAAAGGGUGUAAAUCUUGCUUGGGUGCUUCUCCAAAUUGAUGCAAUUCCGUGAGUCCGUAGUCUCUGCCUUGCUAGGCAACUCUAUAUCUUCUUCUCCAAUUGAAAAUUAUAUCAAUUCAUGACAACUUUCGACAACUAAGAACUCCAAACAAGCGAGAUUCCGAAUUACAUCUCUCUCUUGCCACAAGUACAUCAAAUUUUUACAAUUUUUCAUCACCAAAUUCUCCAGCUUGACCAAAGAGCUUGUAAACCCAUAAUCUAAGCAAGUUAAAUCGACAAUAUCUUGUAUGACAAGGGUGGUUAGGGAUGUCAAGUUUACCAAACUCUUCAGCACGCCCUCAUUACAACCUUCAAAGUUUAAUUCAUUGAGGGAUGGAAGGCUAACGAUAGAGGACGCGGCAUCCAUACGCGGACAAGAGAUGAUUUCUAGCUUUUUGAGGGAGCUCAGUUGACUAGGCAAUCUUCCAAUCAACAUAGGACAAUCUUGAAUGACCAGAUGCUCAAGACAAGGGAAUAAAACUUCUACUUCUUCAUUGCUGAAGUGAUGAGACCAUUCCUCCCAUGACGGCAUGUCCUUGAAUUCCAAAGUCAUUAAGGAUGAAAAAGGACUUUUGGUUCCAUAAAAUUCAGACCCUACCGUGUGUAUUGCAUUUAGACCUUCAAUGGAUAGUUCUUUUAGAGAAGAUAGCUGCCCAAGCGAUGGUAAUGCUUUGACCCUCUGACACAUGCAUAAAUGUAAAUGGACUAUGUUAAGAUGUGAGGGACUUCCUAACCAUGAAGGAAAUUCAAGGCCACUAUAGUAGAAAAUUUCAAGAUUUUCAAGGUUUUGGUGGGGGCAAAGAAAGUCAAGAACCUCUGCCUCAAGCUCUUCAUUCCGGAAAUUUUUAAAAUCUGUACUCCACUGCAUGGUCAACUGGCAUAUUCUCUUUUUCGUGCAUAAGCUAGCAUCCUUGGCAUCUUUGGCUUCUCGAACCAUAUGCAAAUCAAAAAUGCACAAUUCCCCUCCAAGGUUUUCUAGGUUUUUUUAACUCUUUCAACCUCGAGCCAUUUCCAAUUCCCACUAUAAACUUCGACAACAUCUCAAGGCCCACCAAACUACCUAUAUUUAGUGGCAUCACUUUUAGGUUGCUAGAGUCACUAAUAUCGAGAAAUCUCAAAUUGAUCAAUUUCUCCAUGCCUUGUGGUAAUUCAAUAAGGUACAUACAACCUCGCAACAUCAAAGCCUCUAGGUUGUACAAUGCAACAAUUGACUUGGGAAGUGUUUCAAUAUCAGUAUAGGAUAGAUUAAGGUGCCUUAGGUGCCUUAAUUUGCCUAUGCAAUAUGGUACCUCCCUAAUGAAGUAGUGACUUAAAGUAAGCACCCUCAAAUAUUUCAAUUUUGACAACAAGUCACAUAGAACUUUUUGGGACAAGUAUGACUUGUCAAGAUAGCUAGGUUCCUUCCUUAAUGAUAUGAAGCUCCUAAGUCCUUUCAUUCCGUGAUAUAUCUUGAAAUUUUUUGAUAUAGCGUGAUCAUUGGGAAUGAAUGAGGCAUGACGAGCUAAAGAUGGAUUAGUUUGAUACCGCUUAAGCUCAGACUCCCCUGAGCUAAAAUGGGUUGCACCUGCAACUAACUUUGCUAGGUCAUUCACAAGAUCAUGCAUCAAGAAUUGUGAUUCACUACUACUCGACUUCUGAAAUAACGAUCUAGACACUAGCUCGUUGAAAUAAUUCAAACCUGCAAUCCAAAUGUCCCUUUCUUCUUUUUCCUUCACCAAGCCCUCUGCAAUCCACCAGUGAAUCACCUCGUCCCGUUGGAUUUCAUAGUCCUUCGGAAAUAUAGCACAGUAAGCGAAACAUCUCCUCAAAUGGGAGGGGAGAUGGAGGUAGCUAAGUUUCAAAGCCGGAAGGACGUUAACUUCGUCUUCUGGUAGAUCCCAAAUCUUGCUCUUCGAUAUAGCUUCCCAUUCAUGGGGACUAGCAUUGGUAUGUAGCAGUCCAGCCAAUGCCUUCACAGCUAACGGCAAACCUUUGCAUUUUUUCACUAUUUUCCUACCUGAUACUUCUAGAUCGGGAUGAUGAUCAAAAUUAUGGACUCCAAGAGCAUGAAGUGCAAACAAAGUCGUACAAUCAUCUAGUGACAACAAUUUGAGAGUUAUUGGUUGAGCACGGCCUGUUGAAGCCACAUUGCAGUCACGAGUCGUGAUGAUGAUCUUGCUUCCCUUCACUCCCGAUUGAAAAGGCUUCAAGAGAAUAGUCCACUUGUCAUAGUUCUUGUUCCAAACAUCAUCUAAUACGACAAAAAACUUCUUUCCUGAAAGGUUUUUCUUAAGCUCAUCCUGAAGCCAAUUCAAGGUUUUACCUUCACAGGUCAAAUCGCUGUUGAUUGUCUCUAGAAUACUCUUUGUAAUAGAAAGCACAUUGAAAUCAUCAGAAACACAAGCCCAUGCUUUCUCAUCAAAGGUGACAUUAGGAUCAUUAUAGAUUUGUUGAGCCAUAGCUGUCUUCCCAACACCCGCCAUCCCUACAAUGGCAAUCACUGUUGGAUCCAUGCAUGUUCUAUCAUCAUCUUCUCUAGUCAAUAAUCUAAGGAUCUCCCUUUUUUCAUCCUCCCUACUAAUGAAAUAAGGCUCGGUUACAUUUGUAGUGGGAAUCAGCUCAUCUAGUUGGUGGUAAGCUAAUCGCCUCCCCUUGUUCUCUCUUAGGCUCAGACCAUCUUUACGAGCUAUGAUCUCCUGCAAUUUGUCAUCCAUCUCUUCUAUCUUGGAUCUCGCUCUAUGGCCAAACAUCAAUGCUUUCGGGCUCAAUCUGGAGCAACGACUUGGAAGAAGGGCACGCACCUUGCUAGUGCUAGGUUCUGUCUUGGACUUGUUUUUCACGGAUUCUAUGGCAAACUCAUCAAGCAAGUCUUCGAUGUCGUAGGCCAAGUUCCUGAGAUCUUCGAGCCACGACUUCACAUUGGGAUCGCCAGUCAAUUGCCUAUCCUCGGCAUCAAUCAGCACCUGGUCAAUACUGGUCAGCUUCUUCUCCCAUUUCUUCAGUAGCUUAUCAAUCUUCACAUGCCUUGCAAAGUUGAGCAGUUCACGAGAGGCCAACCUCUCGAGCAGCUCGGGAAGAAGGGCGCCAAGGAAGAGCUCUGCGAUGGGCAUGGCUUGGUUCGUGAGCGGCAGAGAAUUAAACAAGACGAGAGUGCCCGGAUGGUUUGAAACACAGUGUCUUGAGCAUAGAGGAAACAAAAGUUCUUAUUUUCAGGACAACGGCAUCAAAAGUUCUUAUUUUAAGCUUUAAAGCACUCUGGUUAGACCGAAAUAAUGUGGAGUGAAGCUUGUUCCUCAACGUCUUGGAGACUUACGCAUUAAAAGUUCUUACUUUUUAUUUGUUUAUUUCCUUCUCCUAAUAAUGGCAGACAAGGAGCAAAUUUAGGUCUAGGGCUCAAUCCAUGUUUGUUCUUUAGCGGUGAAGGUGGAGGUGGAGGAAUGGAUCGAGACUUAGACUCUGAUGGUGGGGACUGACCAGUAAAGUAGAUGCACUCAAGAUUGUUUAUGAGUCCACUAUUCUUGUCUUGAUUGAGGCGACCGGCGACAGUCUUUCUUUAUUAUUUAGUUUUGGCCGAUGAAGACUUGGAGCAAUCUGUCACCUAGUUUUCAGAUUCCCAAGUAAUUCACCGGUUUUUAUUUGAGGCCUUAACUAAGGUUAGGCUGCAACACUCCAUAAUCCCUAUCCAUCUCCUCUCUCUUUCUCGGCAUCUCGCUCUCCAUUUGAGGUUCUAAAAUAAUUGGAUUGCCAGUACUAAAUCUCGACGGUUCAAAAUAAAAUAUUUUGGCUAAAACUUAUUGUCUCUUUCUGCAUCAAUUGCUUUUUUAUGCUCACCUUACUUCAGUCUUUUUUGCCCUCAAAUCUUUACGCCUUCGUCUCUCAUCGUUCAAUUCAUUUGAUUUGAUCUCAUAGGAACAAGUUGGUAUUAUUAAAGCCACCAAAGGCUGGAAUCAGUAAAAGGUUGUUCUUUCAAUUUCUUUCCCACUCCUUUUUUGCACCCAUCCAUCAUCAUCCUACAUCACAUAGAUCAUGGCAUCAUCGUCUCAUUGAUGUAGCCUCAUGAAUUCCGUUACAUUAUCAAACGAAGAAGAAGUUAAAAAAUAUAUUUUAGUUUAUUGAAAGAACAACCUUUACGCCAGCUGACAUCAGUCUAGGAACUGAUAGUUGUAAGUUUGAUUCCUACUUUAGGGAAUUUAGUUUCCAUGCAUGGUGAAUUUAUGUGACAGUUCCUCUUUAGAUGGCUAGCUAUUACGAUCGAACCCAUGAUUUAUGAAAAAGAAGGAAAAUUUUUACGAGGGUCGACCAUAUUGGACUAUAUUUCACUGUGGACAGAAUAGUGGGAAUUCACUUGGAGUUAAAUCAUAUAUAAAAAAAAAAAUCAUUAUUAAUACCCAAUUUUAAUGUGGACGGUUUGCCUUUGACUGGACUGAGGAGUUUUGCUCAAUUCGAUACUCGAGAACUGGUUUAAAAUAUCAAAUGAUCUUUAAAAGAUGAAAUAUAACUUUCGUCAAAAACAUUGUUAUUUAAUAAUAAAGAUGCUGGUGAUUAUCAAUCGUGAGCCGACGAAGACAUUCACUUACCUCAACGUUCAACCUCAUUAUGUUUUAAUCAUCCGGUUAACAUACUCGGCAACAAUACAACGACAAUUUCCAGCCUCACAAAAUUCGCAUGUUCAAACUCAACCUAGUGGCCACCCUUCCAACAUGGAAGGGAGAGGUGGGGGGUUCAAAUCCCCACCUUCUUAAGGGGGGAUGGGGAUGGGGACGCGUAAGUCUCAGGAAUGAGUUUCGACUCCCACGCCCUGUAAGAAGCAGGGCAAAAGUCUGAGAGUGAGUGUAGAGUAGAAAUAGAGUAGAACUGACAAAAAAAAAAAAAACUCUCAACCUAAGGCCCCCCGCCACCAUUCUCCAUUGCCAGCAACCAUGCCCAGCGUCUCGGAUCGCCCCUCCAACAUUACACCACUUGUGGUGGCCAUGGUGGCGAGCUCGUAUCGGGGUUCUUUUGGUGACGAACUGAGAAAUUGGGUAUGUCUCACGGAAGGAUAGAUUUUGCUAUUUCGUGAGAAAUUGCAUGAUGGAUAAACUAUGUCGUGACUAAAAUAAAUCCGGUGCCCAUGGGCAAAGCUUGAGAAAAGUGAGAGAUAACAAAAUAUAAAGAGAGGAGGUUGCGAUUGUGUAUAUGAGAAAGCAAGGGCGUAUUUUGGAAAGAAAUUUGCGAUAUUUGUGACAGAUGGACAUGUUUUAAAUUAGGUGCAAAACAUGAUUUUUAAUAAAANNNNNNNNNNNNNNNNNNNNNNNNNNNNNNNNNNNNNNNNNNNNNNNNNNNNNNNNNNNNNNNNNNNNNNNNNNNNNNNNNNNNNNNNNNNNNNNNNNNNUCUGACUAAAGCAUGAACUCCCCAACCUGAGGGAGUGGAGCUUGUUUCUACUAUUGACAGGUAAAGCGAAACAUGCUCUUCCACAUUCUUGCUCUUGUUCCCAUUUGGGUAAAGAACCAGCUUCCUUUGAAAAUAAGAGAGAAGAAGAAACACAGUCCAAUAAAACCGGAAAGAUUGGUAAAAAAAUAUGUGGAUUGGGAAAAAGGAUCGUUACCAUUUGUAGCCUCCAGCUUGGAAGACCCCCGACUCAUACUUGUCCGCGGAGUUCUUUGAGAGAGUCGAGUAUGAUUGUAUUUUGACCACAUACUGAGCUUCUGACACCGUUUUCUCGACUCCUGCAAAUGAAACACAAGGCAAGGAGAAAAGAUUGGUGACAGUGAAGCACAUUUUCAAUGCUUCUUUUGUACAAAUUACGAGAGAAAGAGUCACAUACCCUGUCGAUCAUCAAAUGCGGGAUUAGCCAUUCGCAAAGUAAGGAGACCGAUGAGAGGAUCCGUGGAAUUUAUUGGCUUAUAUAUCAUAUUGUAUAUGCAUUUGUUGCUAGCUUUUUGAAGAUGCUUUACAGUACCGUUAUGCUUUGCUUAAAGAUGGUUUCCUUUCGUUAUCCAGUCCUUGCCCUGAUUCCACUGAAGAAUCGUGAAAGCAAGAGCACCAGCAAGGAAAAGAUAGUUCGGAUCCUUGCCCUGAUUUUUCUGCUGGCUAGUCAUGGCAUGAUCAUACAUAUGCGCAUUUGCACGCUAAAAGUAUAAGUACAUGAAAAGUACCAAUUAUUUCUCAAAAUGCAAUAAAGUUAUGAAACUUCUAAUAACACAAUCGAGUCUUAGCAUUCGUGAAUAUCAUAAAAUCAAAUGCCUCUGCAAGAUCCUUGUUUAAGGUGACGGUAAAAUUUAAUGUGGAAAUGUUUAUUGUUUUACUCAAAACUUUUACAAAUAACAGUUAAUUUUUUCAAAACGAAGUGGACUCAACUCAAUGUGAAGUGUGCCACUACAUCCAAUCAAAUAUAAGGGUGUGCUUAUUUCUAAAAAAAUUAGAGAUUUUAAAAAUAUUUUUCUUUGAAAAAAUGAUCACCCGUAGAGUUUAUAAAAAUGAAUCUACGAAUAAUGUCUUCAUUAUGUGGGAAAAUGUUCAUAUAUGUAUUGUUGUUGAAAAUGAAAAGAUAUUCAAUGACUUUUUAUUUCAAGUAAUAUAAGCAAUCAUUUUUUAGAAAAUAUAUAGUAAAUCAUUCAUUCCUUCGCUAUUCAUUUCUUUUAACAUAAAAGUAUUGGUAAUUUCAUAUUUUCUGUUGAAUCCUCCGCAACUCUGAUGCGAAAAAGUUUAAUUAUGAAUUCCAUCAAUGACAAAAAAGAUAAUCAUUCUUGCUAUUGCAUACCAAAAAAUACAUCAGCAUGAUGAAUUUUGACUUGUACAACACGUUACUUAAUUGAUUUUGUCUAGCCCUAAUCUCUCUCUCUCUCUCUCUCUCUCUCUCUCUCUCUCUCUCUCUCUCUCUCUUCAGAGAGCAUUGUAUGGAACGAAAAGACCAAUACCAUCAGCCCUCUCUUUCUGAAUACUUUCUGAAUACUACCCUAAGGGGCACAAUUUUAUGUUUCAACAUCCCAAACCAAUCUAGAUGGUUUGAAUUUCUUUAUGACCAUGAUUUGAACCCAUGUCGUAUUUGCUUAUACCGAUUUGAUUGGGGUGGUAAAACCUCAUCGGGUGCAGGGAGGACCCCUACUCCGGGUACUGGGUAAGUCUAAACAGACAACGCGGGAAGGAGUGCAAUUCUAAACAGGAAUUGAAUGCCCUUUGACAUUCAAAUAAGCAUCUAAAAGAUCAUAGGUUUCACCGUGCCCAGGCAAAACAACACAAUUUGCACGCGCGCUUGAGAAUUUGUACAAAAACUGGGCUCUAAGAGAUGAUUCGCGUGAAGAUUAUGUCUCUAGAAACGAUAUGCUGGUGCACAAAAUCUUUUAUCUUAUUGGAGCAAAAUAAUAACUUUUGGGGAGGAAAAGCAAUUUGACGAAAACCAAGUUCAUCGUUUUAGCAAAAUUGAUUUAUGUAGUCGUACUUAAACAGAAUCAUGACAAAAGUACAACGACUUGUCAAAGUGAUCAGUGGGUCAGGCUGAUGGUUAAGAUAUCGCGAAAAAGAAACUGUGUGCUUUGAUGCAUAUCUUUCGGAUCAAUUUUCAAUUUUAGUAUUGUCUUGUUAAGUCAUGCACAUCAAGCAAUCUGGAAACAGUCUGUAUCAUUUCAGUGCUGGUAUGCAAAUAUUCACAACAAUACUACUGAUUGACAGUGUGAUCUUUAACAGAAUGGCGACUUCACAGAGCAUUCACCACGCCCAGGACAGUGACCUCUGCGUCGACCAUGCAAAUGUCCUUCACCAAAGUGCCCAUGUUGGGAUAAUAGAAGGUGGCAUGCGAAAGGAAUCUCGCCCAUCCGGACUCCUUGCUCGAGGUGCUGAACCAGUGAUUAGCUGCAUGAGAGAGAGAGAGAGAGAGAGAAAGAGAGAGAGAGAGAGAGAGAGAGUUUCCAAUGUCAAAGACAAGAAUUCAAUCGCUCGUAAGUUCAUUUCUUGCAAGAAGUAAUCACCUUUUCCAGAGAAAUGCCUUCCUUGAAGCUGAUCCAGGAUGCGCAGCGAGAAGUCUGCAAAUACUUUAGUGCCAGGAGGAAGGGUGUCCGAGUCGGCUAAAACUAAAUAAAGAGAGACAAAAGCUCCGAGUCCGCUGCCCUUUCCGCCUGGNNNNNNNNNNNNNNNNNNNNNNNNNNNNNNNNNNNNNNNNNNNNNNNNNNNNNNNNNNNNNNNNNNNNNNNNNNNNNNNNNNNNNNNNNNNNNNNNNNNNCCCAAACAAAACAUUGCAAUUUGCAUUGCGCCGCACUCGAGAAUUUGUACAAAGACCGGACUUUAGAGACAAUUAGCGCAAAGAUUAUGUCUCCAUAAACAAUAUUUGAUGCGCAAAACUUUAAGCGUAUUCCAGCAACAUAAUAAGUUUUGGGGAGCAAAAAUAGUGAUUUGAUGAAUAUCAAGUUCAUAAUAAUUUAGUAGGAGGGAAUUGAUUUACAUAGUGAUACAUAGAUGAUAUUAUCAGAAAACGAUAUGUUGAAGCGAUUACUGGGUCAGACUGGAGUUAAGAUUUUGCUGAGUGAACGCAUGCUUUGAUUCUUAUCUUUCAGAUCAAGGUCCAAUUUCUAAUUUCUUCUUUUGAAUCAUAGUGCUAAUUAUCAAGCAACGAUUGGGGGCCCAAAUAAAUGAAUGGAUGGCCUGAGAGAAUCAGGGCCCGGAAAUAAUCUGUAUCAGAUCAGUGUUGUGCUGAUAUGAAAAUAUUCACAACAAAUACUACUGAUUGAUAGUGUGAAUCUCAACGGGAUGGGGGCUUCACAGCGCAUUCACCACGCCGAGGACAGUAACCUCUGCUUCGACUAUGCAAGUGUCCUUCACCAAAUAGCCUGUGUUCGGAGAACGAAAGUUGGCAUGCGAAGAGAAUCUCGGCCAACCCCAAUCGUCGAACGAGGCGCUGAACCAGUUCUUAGCUGCAUGAGAGAGAGAGAGAGAGAGAGAACGCGUUUCCAGUGUAAAAAACAAGAAUUCAAUCGCUCAUAGCUUGUUUUUUUACAAGAAAUGGUUACCAUAUCCAAAGCAAUGAUUUCCUUGAAGCUGAUCCACGACGCGCAGCGUGAAGCCUGCAAAUAUUUUAGUACCAGGAGGACGGCUGUCUUCGUUAGCAGAAAUUAAAAACAGUGAGACAAAACCUCCGAGUCCGCUUCCCUCCCCAUUCGGAUAGAGCCGUAUUUUCCUGAAUGAAUGACACACACAACAUCUGAUGCAUCAAUGUGUUCUGGUUUUCUAGACUUCACAACGUUGAUCGAAGAAUAGAGUGAUUCACUAGCAUAAAUGCCCAGUCCCAUUCCUUCCUGGAAGGACAGAUGGUACUGAACUUGGGGAGGAUUUUUUUGAGCUGCAGUAGAAGUUUUGGGCCGUGUUUCCUCCAUCUCCAGCAGGAAAAACAUGCCUCUAUCGUUGGGUUACAAAUUUUGUAAUUCCAUUUUUUUUAACCUACCAAUCAGAAGACUCGUUGGAACAAACUUUAUCGGAAAUGAACCUACAUUAGUAAAAAAAGUUCAUUGUUAUCCAUGGUCAGUAUAGCAGUUNNNNNNNNNNNNNNNNNNNNNNNNNNNNNNNNNNNNNNNNNNNNNNNNNNNNNNNNNNNNNNNNNNNNNNNNNNNNNNNNNNNNNNNNNNNNNNNNNNNNNNNNNNNNNNNNNNNNNNNNNNNNNNNNNNNNNNNNNNNNNNNNNNNNNNNNNNNNNNNNNNNNNNNNNNNNNNNNNNNNNNNNNNNNNNNNNNNNNNNNNNNNNNNNNNNNNNNNNNNNNNNNNNNNNNNNNNNNNNNNNNNNNNNNNNNNNNNNNNNNNNNNNNNNNNNNNNNNNNNNNNNNNNNNNNNNNNNNNNNNNNNNNNNNNNNNNNNNNNNNNNNNNNNNNNNNNNNNNNNNNNNNNNNNNNNNNNNNNNNNNNNNNNNNNNNNNNNNNNNNNNNNNNNNNNNNNNNNNNNNNNNNNNNNNNNNNNNNNNNNNNNNNNNNNNNNNNNNNNNNNNNNNNNNNNNNNNNNNNNNNNNNNNNNNNNNNNNNNNNNNNNNNNNNNNNNNNNNNNNNNNNNNNNNNNNNNNNNNNNNNNNNNUUGUUCCGAGGAACAAUAUAAAAACAGAAAUGCGUAUGCUUAUACUUCAUUUCGAAAGCAAAAAAAAUCAGGAACGGAUUGGAACAAAAAUAAAAAGUAGAAAAAACUCGUUUUUUGUCUCCGGAAACACUUCAGAGAAACACUUCUUUUUUUUCUCCUUUUUCUGUUUCUUUUUUCUUCUUCUUUUUUCUUUGGCCGGCCACCUCACAGGAGUGCCGCCGGCCCCCGGCGAGGCUCGGCCUCACCUUGGCUAGGCGAGCUCAAGCUCGCCCAGAAUCGGCGAGACCGCUGGCCCUCGUCGGCCGGUUGUCGGCCAUGGCUAAGGCCGGUGACUGGCCAAAAGGAGGAAAGAAAAAAUAUUAAAAAAUUAAAAGAAACAAAAAAAAUUAUAUAAGUUUACCAAAUGUGUUUUUGUUCUUUUUCUAUUCCAGGAAUAAAAAUUUUAUGUAGUUACCAAAUGUGUUCUUCUGUUCAAAAAUUGUUCCCAGAACAAAAAUAGUUUUUUUCUAUUUCUAUUUUUGAGAACAAUUUUUGAAUAGAAACGUUACCAAACGCAUCCUCAAAUGCCCAUUCCUAUUCACUCCUUGAAGGACAGAUGGUACUGAACUUGGUGAGGAUUUUUUCAGUGUUGUAGUUCCAGACCUCCGGCAAGAAAGACGUGUAUCUAAAUGUUGGGUUACCAACCUAGCUUUCAGCCUUACACAAAUUUUAGCAAAAAUGAAUGUGCGGUGUUGGUGACCCAUCAAUCAGAAGAUAAAUUGCAGAAACUUCCUCAAUAAUCAUGACCCAAAAUAUUUUUUGUCAAGAUAGUUCAUUGUUCUCCAUGAUCAGUGUAGGAGCAUAUCAUGAGGCAAAUGACCAGAGGAGAUUUAACAUCCAUUGUUUAGUGCGUGCCUAUAUCAGGAAAGUUGAGAGCGAUUACCAUUUCUGAUUUCCGGCUAUGAAUACUUUCGACUCGGAGAAUUCCUUGUCCAAUUUCGAGAAGUUGUCGACCUUCCAGGUGUGCUUCUGACUGAUCGCAUCAUUUACCAUCAAGAGAUUCUCUCCUUUGCCAGUGCUCUUUUCCUUCAUCACGAAAACCUCCGCCCCAAACACACAAGUAUCAUCCACGAGAUAUCCGUUCUGCGCAUCACUAAACGUCUUCACGGGAAGGAAUUGGUCGAAGCCAUGUUCAAGCUUCAUCCUGUGAAAGCGCCAUUCCUUUUUCAUGGCAUCUAAUGAAAAAAAAAAAAAAAGAAUCAAAUCCAUCAGCGGACACUUGCUGAUUAACUAACUUGCUAACCGAAGAGCUAACUUUUUUCUUUACAAUAUUAGCAAACUAUAUAAAUGACGAGGAAACAACGAGAUAAUUUGUGGUUUGAAGCUGUACCUUGGAUUAUCGAGUAACUGUCUUUGUUCUGGUCAAGCAGAAAGAAUCUAACUAACGCAUGAACUUCCCAACCUGAGGGGAGCGAGCUUGUUUCUGCCAUCGACAGGUAAAGAGAAACAUGAUCUUUUACGUUCUUGCUCUUGUUUCCAUUCGGGUGAAGAACCAGCCUCCUGUGGAAAGAAGAAGAGACAGAAAGUGAAGAAGAAUCGCUGUGCAAUGAACCCAUAGAGAUUGGUAAAUAAGUUACGUGGAUGGGGAAAGUGAGGAAUUAUUACCAUUUGCAGCCUCCAGCUUGGAAGACCCAGGACUCAUACUUGUCCACAGAGUUCUUCGAAAGCAAUGAGUACGAUUGUAUCUUGACCACGUAGUGGGCUGGUGGAGCAUCUGACAUCAUUUUCUCUGCUCCUUCAAAUGACACCGCGAGCAAAGGAUUGAUGAUGGUGAAGCCCAUGUUUAAUGCUUAAUGUUCUUGUUUACAAAUUACGAGAGAGAGAGAGAGAGAGAGAGAGUCACGUACCUUGUUUAUCAUCUAAUGCAGGAUCAGCCAUUUGAAGAGCAAUUGAAGAGCAAAAAGAUUAAUGAGAGGAUUCGUGAAAUUUGCUGGCUUAUAUACUAUAUUUCAUAAGCAUUUCGUUGCUAGCCAUGUUGAAGUCGCCUUAGAGGACCGUCAUGCUUUGCUUGAAGAUAGUUUCUUUUCGCUCUGGAGAUAGGAUCCAAACCUUGCCCUGAUUCCUCUACUUGUUAGUCAUGGCAUCAUCGUGCAAAGAAAUAAGAUAUUGGGUACGCGCAAUUGCACGUCGAAAGGACAAGCACACCAAAAGUACCGGUCUUGUCUCGAAGCACAAUCGGGUAAAGAAGCUUCAGAUAAUAUACGAUCAAGUCUUCGAAUUUGUGAAUAUCAUGCAGUCGGAAGAGAGACAACCUCCAGAAACCAAGAUGUGAUUUGAGCGCGUCCCAUGGCAAGAUUUGGUAAUGGGACUUUGAUUUAGUAGCGAUUUAGAAGCCCAUCGUGGAUCGGCCGCUAUAGUCCAGUUAUCUUAGCAUCCGUAUAGGUUAGGGGAAAGAGUUGGUGCAUACGUGAUUGCAGGAUACGCGAUGGCCCCUCCAGCUCUCCACAAUUACUCUCUCUCUCUAAUCCAGAGAGAAAAUCCCAACUUCCAAAUUAGGAUUUUUCGACGGUGGUACUUUGGCCGUGGAUGUCGAGGUUCCCACGUGUUCAAGUGUCAAGCAAGAGAAGUCUCACAUAAAAAAUGCAGUUUGAGAUAAGACAAUUAAUAUAUCUUAAUUUACUCAUAACUUAUUAAUAUAAGCUUUUGAAUGAAAGUAGAUCUAACCGAAUAUGUUCUAAAACUCAAACCUCGACUUUCUUAUGAGGAUCUCUCCCGCUGAAGGUAUCGAGUUUCUAUUAUUCUUCUUAAUCAUAGAAGUACAAUGUUUUUGGCUGUGUGAUUGAGAGAGAGUCCUCAUCAAAGGAUCGUGUCGUUAGAAACUCAAAGUUUGUGGCAACUCAAUCAAGAUUGAGAGACAUGGUGAAAAUUGCAAAUCUUGCGUCUUCGCAGUCCCGUGCUUAUCGCAUAUGGAUCACUUUACUAUACACUUCGACGUCCCUCUGUUUUUACACGUAAUUCUGCAAUACUAGUUUCUCCAUGAAAGUUGCUUCCCGACAUGGUUGGGUACCUUGCAUAUCCAAUUGAGUUUGGAGCUUAAGUCUUGUACAGUGUAGAUGCAAUAUCCUCUAGUAAGUCUGUUUCUUGUCAUGCAAAUAGGACGGACAAAUAGGACUUUCCGUCAUUGAACUUUGGCCGAGCACAUCUUGUGAAUAAGAUUUUCUCAGAAAAUGAGCCUAAUGGUCUUGAAAAGGGAUUUUCACAAGUAUCAGUCUGAAUUUUCUCAAUUUCUAUAGAGAGAAGAGCUAUUUAAGGUUCCGGAUAUAACACUGAAAUUUGGACAUGAAGUAGAAGGAGAAUACUGUAAAAUAUGGGUUUUGACCCAGUCAAAAAUAAAAAGGAGAAAGAAGAAGGAGAGAGAUCGAGAGUCUUCGGGAGAGAAGAAGAAAAAGAGGAAAGAGAGAGAGAAGGAAAGAAAAGAAAAAAAGAAAAAAGGGGGAAAAUGAGGAGAUAAAAGGAAAAGAGAGAGAAAAAGUAGGAGAGAGAGAAAGGGGGAUCAGAGAGCCCACGCUCGAAAAGAAGAAGAAGAAGAAAAAGAAGAAAGAUGAUUUUGUGCGUUUUCAUCAUGGGAGCCUUGUCAAGCCAUGUAACGCAACGCCCGAUAAACGUUCGUGCCGCCCAUUCAUUCAAUCGGAGUAAUUUCAGACCUAGGGCUUGAAAUUCGGAUUUUUGAAAACAUAGAGCGACGAAGUAUGAUUUGCGAGUCGUUGAGUUGCGUAUUUUUGUAGAAAUGAUAGCUUAGGAUGUUGUGGAGCUGGGAUCUUAUGGAAUAUGAUUUGAGCUCACGGUUUGUCCGAAACAAAAUUUUGAAGUUUAUCGCUCGUGAUAAACAAUGCACAACCAGAACUUCAGGGCUAUAUUUUGUUGAUUUUCAGCUUGAUUUUGAGUUGGCUAAAUUGGGGUUCUUGUAGUGUGUUGGAUGGGCUUUCCAUCAACUAUAAGUACGCUUGAAACAGAGUUUGGUAGAGAAAAUUAUGGCAUGAUGAAGUUUCGUGCUCGCACUUCGUGCUAAGGAUGGCUUUGAGUAAUUAUUUUGGUCGAGUGAUUUAUUAGCGCGUAGGUGUCGUUUUAUCGAUGAAUAAACAUAAUUUAAUCGUGUUGGGAAUAACGGAUCCCCGAAAAACGGAUUCGACACUAAAUCGAACCCCUAAAGUAAUGCGGAAGACGAAGCCCAGGAAAAUCACGUAUCACCGAUCGUAAAGCACACCACGGAUUCGAGCGUACCUUGUUAGCCACAGAUUAGACACCGACGCCGAUAAGAGGAAGAGAUUCUGGCCCUGUUCGAUCCGAUGACGCCUUGAAGGGAAGAAAAACGCUUACUGUUUUUCUUUUCUUUUUGGAGAGAGAGAGAACGUGUGGGAGAAGACGUACGUACGUUGUUUCCAAGAGUUGUCUUCUCCCUCUUUCUCAUCCCUUUUAUACGUCCCUCCAUCCACGGGACCUAUUCCUGUGGGCCGGGCUUUUGGGCCCAACAUGGGCGGACGGGCCUUAAGCCCAUCACUAAUAAAACCAUCAUCUCUCACUCGCACAUGGUGGGCUGAAUAUGAUUCUCUUUACCUCUCUUCAACAUUCAUACUGGUGAAUAAUCCGUGCGACCAGCAUACUUUGAGAGCUCGUUGCCAUACAUCUGUUAGGAAUAUAUAGCAGCUCAUAAUGGUCAUCACACUCCGAGUAGAUUUAGUAUGCAGCACCCUAGAUCGAUUGAUCACAUUUAUAUCUCUCUUGAUCUCUUUUAAACAAUGAUAUAUAUAUAUAUAUAUAUAUAUAUAUAUAUAUAUAUAUAUUUUUUGUAUUCACAAUUAUGAUUAUCACAAAGACAAUCAUAAUUGGUUAACCGGUGAAUACAAAAACUACAAUGUGAUUCUCCAAAUUCGAUCUUCCUCUUCCCUUCAAACUCUCAAUUUCAGUUCAGCUUGCUUUUCUAGAAAUGUCCCAUUAGAUCGAAUCAACUCAUGACCAUUGGCAACAUCCUAAGAUAGCAAACACUAAAUAGAAAUCUUGAGAAUAAGUAAGAGUCAUGAGGGGACUAAAAAAUUGAGGAACUCUUUUCCUCAAGGGUCUCACACGUCAUAAAAGUUGAGAUCAAACUUUUUGCCACUCUUAUUAGUCGGCUCAUGCAUACGUAGUAUGAAAUACGUAUUACGGUAUUAACUCAUUUCCCAUGGAGCGUAUGUCUACACCUUUCAAUACCGUACAGAUGAUAGUUCAGACAUACCCAAUGUCUAACUUGAGUUCACAUAUCUACUCAUUCACAAAAUUCAUCAGAACUCAUAUCUGGCAUCAUAGACAGAUAAAGUAAAAUAUGUUGGGUAUUUUACUUUCGGACAUAGUAAGUAUUAUGUCAUCAUCUUAACACCCAGUUAAGGCGACAUACGUAUUUUAAGCUUGAGCUCUCGAUUAUCACCUAGAUAAUAAGCUUAAAAACAGUUUCAUCUCUAUUUAUCACACAGUAAAUAGAGGCGAUUACCCGUGUGAGUGGGCUAAUCUUAUAUCUGUCCGACAUACUUCCUCAACUUAAAAUAAUGCACUGAGCAUUAAGAUGCAUAAAGAUCAAACAAAGAUUCAUAGGCAUCAAUGAUGAAAACACAAAUUCAUCAAAUGUGAACACUUAGGGAAAUUACAAUAUUCAGUACAUCAGCCUCUACGCAAUCCUAGAGAUUUCAUAUGGCCACAAAACACAUCUCUAGGUAUUGGCUUUGUCAUAGGAUCUGCUACCAUUCUAUGCGUAGUAUGUACUCUAAGUUCACAUCUUUUCGUACAAUCAUAUCCUUGACAAAAGUAUACUUGGUAUCUAAAUGUUUGGUCUUGCCAUGAUAUUUUGGAUCUUUGGUGUACGCUUUUGCUGCUUGGCUAUCGCAGUUAACCAACAAUAAAUCUGCAGCACUUCCAAUAACACCUAAAUGAUCCAAAAAAUCUCUUAAGCCAAACACCUUCUUAUACUGCUGCUGAUAAUGCUACGAACUCAACUUCUAUCGUGGACAAGGCUAUACACUUUUGUUUCUUACUGCUCCAACAUAUGGUGCCAUUAUUCGGUAAGAAAACAAAACCAGAGGUAGAUUUCCUUUCAUUUAAAUCUCCUCCCCAAUGAGCAUCAGAAUAGCCUUUGAGUUGCAGAUCAUUUCCUUAAUAACUCAGCGUAUAAUUAGCAGUCCCCUUUAGAUACCUUAGUAUUCAUUUAAUGGCUUUCUAACGUGCUUGACCUGGAUUGGAUUAGUAUAUGCUCAUCAUUCCAACUGCAAAACAUAUGUCAGGUCUUGUACACAUCAUAGCGUACAUCAAGCUCCCAACAGCACUAGCAUAAGGAACAUGUUUCAUUUGUUCAUUCCCCUGUGGAGUCCUUGGACACAGUCUAUGGCUCAAUCCUUCACCUUUUGCAAUAGGAGUGUCUAUGGGUUUAGAAUCCCAUAUCCUUCAAUUCAAAGCUGAAAGACAACCAACUUUUGACAGUAUUGACAAGCUCCAUAUUGCUUCCGGCAAUUAGUAUAUCAUUAACAUAUAAUGAUAUGAUCACAAAUUGAUCAUUGGAUCUUUUGAUAUAUAUACAAUGAUCCUCACCUAUCAUUGUAAAAUCAUAUGCCAUUAUGGCAUUAUGAAAUCGUAUAUACCAUUAUCUUGACGACUGCUUAAGGCCAUAUAUCGACCUCAAAAGUCAACAUACCUUUUCUUCUUGGCCUUUCACUAUGAAACCAGCAGGUUGUUCCAUAUAUGUUCCUUCCUCUAAAUCUCCAUUGAGGAAAGCAGUAUUUACAUCCAUUUGAUGUAACUCAAGAUUCGUACUAAACACUAUUACCAGAAUUAUGCGAAUCAAUGUAAAUCUCACUACAGGAGAAAAUGUAUCUUCAUAAUCAAUUCAUUCCUGUUGAUUAUACCCAUUCGCCACAAGGCGGGCCUUAUGCCUUUCUAUCGAGCCAUCAGCCUUUCGCUUUAUUUUGAGAACCCACUUGUUCCCAAUAGCUUUGCGUCCUUUUUUGGAAGAUCAACUAGUUCCCAAACUUGGUUUGAUUUCAUUGACUCCAUCUCCUCUUUCAUUGCAUAAAUCCAUUUUUCCUUAUUAGGGCAAUUUAGAGCCUCAUUAAUAUUUCUUGGCUCAUCCUCAUCUUGUGGAGCAAUCAUAAAAGUUUCCCCUUCAAUGUCAAAACAUCGACGGGGAAUACUUUGGCAACGUGUUCGCUAUAUGGGAGAUUGUAGACUUAGCACAUCAUUCCCCAUUAUGCUCCCACUCGGAUUAGAUAAUGACGAUAUCAUUUCAUCAUGUGGUUGUAAUUGAGAAUGAGUUGAAUUCAAUUCAUCACUUCUCAUAUUACUCCCACUUGGACGAACUCUACUAAUAUCAUUAUCUUGAUCCAAGGUUUAAAAUAGGGAGUAAUAUUCCCCUAUUUCGCCCUUCUUAGGAAAUUCAUCCACUAAGAAUGUGACAUCCCGUGAUUCAAAUUCAGUUAUACUCUCACUUUCCUACUCACCUAUGAACACAUACCCUUUCGAGUGUUCGGAGUAUCUCAUUAAAAUACUCUUCUUUCCUUUAGGACCCAAUUUCCCAAACUUGUGAGAGGACUCAUGAGUAUAGGCAGCACAACCCCAUGGCUUAAGAAAACUUAAGUCCGGUUUUCUACCUGUCCAUAACUCAUAUGGAGUGGAGCUAACUGAUUUGGAAGGCACCCGGUUAAAUAUAUAGGCAGCAGUUAAUAACGCAUCACUCCAAAAAGUGAUAUGUAAGUUAGCAUGCGCCAUCAUGGAUCUAACCAUUUCCAGUAGGGUUAUGUUUCUUCUCUCUGCAACACCAUUUUGUUGAGGAGUAUACGGAAUAGACAACUAUAUUUCUAUUCCUUUUCAUCACAUUAUUUUCUGAACUCAUCAGAUAAAUAUUCUUGACCUCGAUCGGAUCUCAAUGCUUUUACUUUCUUGUCUAAUUGAUUUUCUACCAAGUUCAUUAAACCUUUUGAAACAACUUAUUGCUUCAGAUUUAUGAUAAAUCAAAUAGACAUAUAUGAAUCGAGUAUAAUCAUCUAUAAAAGUGAUGAAAUAAACAGCCCAAUGCCUUCCUCUCACAUUCAUUGAACCACAGACGUCAGAAUGGAUUAAAUGCAGAGGAAAUUCAGCUAUUUUAUCUUUUCCAAAUGGUUUCUGUGUCGUUUUCCCUACUAGGCAAUGCUCACAUAUGAGCAAAUCGACUUUUUCAAUGUUGCUCAACAAGCCCCCUUUGGCUAGUCUAUUCAUACAUUAUUGGCCAAUAUGACCAAGUCUAGCAUGCCACACAUUCACAUCAUUAUCAUAUAAAGUAGAAGACGUGAAACAAGGGAAUAACAAAUAUUGACAUCACCACAGUCAACAUUUAGUAUAAUAAAACCAUCCAGAAAGUGACCACAAUCAUAGUAGUUUGUAUCCAAAUACAAAUCUACACCGCUAUUACGGAAGUUCACACUAAAACCAAGCUUAACCAACACAAAAAAUAGACACUUAAAUUUUGACGAAUCUCCGGAGCAUAUAGAACAUCAUGUAGGAACAAGAUGCGUCCAUCACGCAUGUUCAAUUGGCAGGUGUCAAUCCCUUUAACUUCAUCUCUGGAGUUAUAUCCCACAUAGAUCCACUUAGUUCCAGUUGGUACUCGUCGGAAUUCCACGAAGGAUCCUCUAUCCUUCGCUACAUGAUCUGUCGCUCCUGAAUCUACAGUCCACAAAGGAUUGGAUUCAGCUAAUAAUACAGAACUUGACACAUAAGCAAAGUUCUCAAAUGUACAAUAGGUGUUUACCUUCUUUGGCUCACAACAGUCGCGAGCAUAGUGACCCUUCUUGUCACAAUUGUAACACCUUACCCUUGACAUUUUCUUCACUUGAGGACAUUUUCCUCUCUUGUGUUAGUUAACUAUUGAUCUCUUGCAAUAAGGACUUGAUCAUUUGCAUUCCCACAUAUUGAACGAAUCAAUACGCUUGCGCUUAGAGCUCAAAGCCCUUUCUGAGCUAGAUACAGCAUUGCAAAUAUCUAUUUUCGGUUCACAUGCCGUCAAGCGGUCCUCUACCAGCUCAAGGUGGCGCACAGCAUCCUCAAGAUCUUCCAUAACAUGGUCAAGAGCUUCUAGUGCUUCUUGCUUUUCCAGCACAUUGAAUCUUCAUAUUCAAUAUUUCACAAUUGUUGCCGUUCACAUCAGCAAUUACGUUCUUAGUUGCUGAAUCCAUCAAUCUGAACACAUCAAACAUAUAUGCACGAAUAAUUAAUGCCUAUCAUUUAUGCAUCCACUUUACACAGACCCAUCAUAUCAAUGAAUAAUUUCAAGUAAGGUUUCAGAAUCAAAAGGUCACUACGUUUCCAAUCAUCCUCCAAAAAUCCUAACUUAAAACUAUUAUUAAUAUAAUUGUCUUAUGCAAAAUAAAUUCUAUGAAGUUACAAAAACUUCUAUGAACUACCCACAGCUAACUAUCCACAGCAAUCAGCACUACAAGAAAGUAACAGAUAAUUGACAUCCAAUAAAAUAAUAAUGCUUUCAACUAAUACAACAAUCCAUUACACUAAGUAAUAUAUCCAAAAAGAAAUAUCAACAUAGAAAGAGAUAUUCAACACUAAAAAAUAUCUCAAACUAAUCUAAGAAAUAAAUAGGGAAAGUCCCUUCUAAUCUAUCAAUCAAAAUAUCUGAGAAAUUUGAAGGCACAUUUGCCAACCAUGGAAAAACUUUUGGAGAGCUUUCAUGUCGCCACCAAGGCGUAUUUACUCUACGCCAUGUGGCGCUCAAUCUAAGGGUUGAAGUUUUGGCCAACUCAAUCCUAUAGUACUCUCUUACAAAAGCUUCCACUAGCCUGCUAUAACCCGUGACCACGUUGACCUCCCAUAGCCGAUCUAACACUGCUUGCCAUUCAGGUGGAAGAGUGUUUAUCAAAGCCGGCACCUUCUCAAAAUCCGGCAUAAGAUAACCAUUCCAGAUGAUUUCUUAUAUCAUCUGAUUGACCCUAACCACGUGUGAUACUAAAUCACCGUCAUGCCACCGAUAAUCAGUUAACUCUUUCAUCAGCCUUUUCAAUCUAGCUCUUCCUUCGUCCAUUCUCGGGAUUGCAGGUAUCUGUGCAUAACACAUCAUAGUUCCUGCAACAAAUGCAGAACUAAUAAAUUGAUCACUUAUAAUCCACAAUAAACAAAAUGGAAAAUACAUAAUUUUCCAUGAUUCAUGCAACAAAUGCAGAAUAAAAAAUGGAUUACCUCUAACCCACACAGACAUAAUUGAAAGAGAAACAAAUUCCUUCUUUUUUUUCUUCUUUUUUUUCGGGUCAACGGUCAACGGUCAGGUCGUCGGUCGUCGGACCGGUCGGGCCGGGUCGGACGAACCGACCGCACGUGCCGCGUGCGUGCGCAGGCUGACGUCAACCGGCACGUGUCGCAGACGUCAGCCGGCACGCGCCGCUCGCGUGCCCGGCGUCUGCAAGUCGAGUCGGGUCGAGUCGCCGGCCGGUGACCGCCCGGCCAACCGUCGUCGGCGCUGACGUCAUCGAUGACGUCAUCUCAGCGGUUACCGACCGUUGGGUGACGUCAUGCUGACGUCAGCAUGCGUCGGUCCGCCGACCGGCGCGUGCUAGUUUGACGGCCGGCGGCGCGCAUGUGCCGGUUUGCCGACCGGCGCAUGUGGUGCACGCGCUGGCCGAUGCCAGCGCUUCCGGGUGCGUGCGGCGUCUCCCGGCGGUGUUCGACAUAUCGCCAGACUCGUCUCGACGACCCCUUUCUCCCUAUGCCAUCAAAAUUUGAUUUUGACUUACGAAAACUCGAAAAAAUGGGCGAAUAGCGCUCGGGUGUCGGAUUUCUCGCCCCGAUUCGUACGACCGAAUUACUUUCGCGAAAAAUCAAUCAAAAAACAUCAAACGGGUCGGGAAAACGUGAACUAGGGCUCUGAUACCAAUGUUGGGAAUAACGGAUCCCCGAAAAAACGGAUUCGACAGUAAAUCGAACCCCUAAAGCAAUGCAGAAGACGAAGCCCGGGAAAAUCACGUAUCAUCGAUCGUAAAGCACACCACGGAUUCGAGCGUACCUUGUUAGCCACAGAUUAGACACCGACGCCGAUAAGAGGAAGAGAUUCUGGCCCUGUUCAAUCCGAUGACGCCUUGAAGGGAAGAAAAACGCUUACUGUUUUUCUUUUCUUUUUGGAGAGAGAGAGAACGCGCGGGAGAAGACGUACGUACGUUGUUUCCAAGAGUUGUCUUCUCCCUUUCUCAUCCCUUUUAUACGUCCCUCCAUCCACGAGCCCUAUUCCUGUGGGCCGGGCUUUUGGGCCCAACAUGGGCGGACGAGCUUUAAGCCCAUCACUAAUAAAACCAUCAAGUCGAGUAGUUAGUUUUUUUUUUUUUUUGGUCGGUAGUCGAGUAGUUAGUUGGAGAGUGACAUAUUACAUGGUUUUAAUAUCGUAUUCGAUUUAUUAAUAGGAAUACGAGUGCAUUGGCUCAAGUUACCACAUAGGUUGAUUUUCGACUUUCUCAGGUGAGUGGUGCUAUCUCUUCUAAGAAUUUAUAAGCUCAUGUCUUCAAAAUGAUAAAGAUUUGAUACUUUAUGAGUUAUGAAUAAGCAUGUUUAUUGCAUAAAAGUUGGAUUGGGCAUUUACUACGUUUGAUAUUUGAAAAUAGUGUGAGAACUUUUUGAUAAAUAUAUAUUCUGUUUGAUGAACGAAGUUGAGAAAUAUUACAUGUUUUGGGUUUGUGAAACCAUUUCACGAAAAGCUCGACUUUGAGAUGAUUUAUGGAAGGUUAUAUAGUUAUUGAUUUGUAAUAAGCUUUUUGAAAUGUAUUUGAUUUGAAAUUGAUUUAUAAGACGGGUCUUGAAAUUAUUUGAGAAUGUUUUAUGAAAAGUAUUUUUGGCGGAUAAGUUGAGUUGCGAAAUCUUUUGGUGAUAUAUGAAAUGUUUUAUGGAUUGGAUGGUGUUGUUCUGGAGUGAUGUGGAUGCUUAAUAUCACUAUGAGCCCAGCGAGGGACUUGUGGGUAUACGUGUACUAUUCUAGGAUAUUCUUGUGGGCUGAGCCACCGGCUAAUAAUAGGUGGAGACCUUGCCAAGGGGUAAUCUUGGUCGUCUCGUCACCAAGCGUUGUAUCAUGACCAUAGUUUGAUAUUGAGCAACAGAUUGGUCAAUGGAGUGGACCAUUGACAUGUGAUAUGACUUGAGUCGAUGGGAUGCACCAUCAACGUGUAAUUUGAGAUUUGUCAUUAGAAUGGACCAUUGACAUAUAAUUUCAUUAGAUUAUCGAUAUGUGGUUUGAUGAGAUUAAUCAAUUGAAUAAACCAUUGAUACAUGUUUUAUGAGAUUGACCAAUGGGUUAGACCAUUAUCUUGAAUAUUUUUGCUUUGAACAUAUUGUGUUAAAAUAAGAAAUGUUAUAUUUUUGCCUUGAAGGUUUGUUAAAUUUCUGGGUUUGGUGUGGUAUGAGAUUAACCAAUGGAAUGGACCAUUGGCGUGUGAAUUAAUGAGAUUGAUCAGUGGAUUAGACCAUUGAUGUUUAUUUCAAUGUUAUUAUGAAAUGAUUAUUUUUGCUAUAAAUAUAGCUAUGUUGAAGCGUAUGUAACUUAUUCUUAUUACUGUAUGUUUGUUAUAUCCUAGAUUUGGGUUAAAAAAGUUGCGGUUUGGUUUUGUUAAUAUGCAUAGUGGGUGCUCAAUCCGCUUAGAAGAGAUGCACUACUCACUGAGUCGUGGUUACUCACCCCCCCUAUUUUCCAAUCUUUUUCAAGUUCCUCGACUAACGAUGAGUAAGUACAAGAGCAAUAUGGAUGUGGGGACUUUUAAGAGUUGGAUUUUGGGAGCUUUGAGGCUGCGUCCUUUGAGUGGAAGGACGACCAUGUCAUCCCCCAUUCAAUAUGGUUUUGGGGUGUGACAUCUACAUCUCACCUACUCUCAAACACAUAUGUUUAGUUUCGAAAAAUUCAAAUAAACAAUAUUGAUUGACAAAGGUUGUUGAAAAAAAACUCUUACCAAGUUUUAAAAUUGACAAAACUUUCUUAUUCUUGUUCUUAUUAUGAAGAAUAAUAGACUUGUGAUAGCCUUUUGUCAAAGUCUAUUCAUUCCAGAAGUCUUUUCCACUCUGACGCAAUCAAAACUGAAACCAAGACCAUAACGAAUAUAUAAUCAUACUCAAAUUUAGUGAUCUUGCGACAAUGAUUCACUAUGAACAUGAUAGAGAUUUAUUUUUUAAUAUUUGGCUUUCUGGUGAAGAAUCUUACUUACCUUUUAUAAAUACAUUAAUGGAAUCAAUCACGAAUUGAUGAAAUCAAUCUUGAAGACAAGUUCAUUUUUAAUAAGCAUCUACUUAUGAAAAUCUAGAUUCUGAUUGUAUAGAUAACCAAAAUUAACGGAUUUUCAUCUCAAUCUUCAAAAAACUACAAGAUUUCCUUAAUUUAUUCUAUCCAAUAGAUUGAUUGGAAGAAAUUCCUUUGAAGAAUGCUAAUAAGGUGUGGAUAAGUAUUUAAGGAGGUCAUUUAGUCUAUCUGAAGUGUGCGUGAAAAUUAAAAUUCCAAAGUCUGAAGCCUUUCUAACCACUUGUUACAGCUCUUACUAAUUUUAUUCAAGAGAGAAAAUGACAAGAAGAGUGACUUAGUGAGGGAAAAAUAAAUUUUCCACUGAGUAUUUGCAUUCGAAAUAUUGUACUUCUCUGUUGAUACUUUAGUAAAUUUCAGCCAGAAGACCGUCAGCAUGGGAGAAUGGAUGUACGCUUGAUCUAAGUCGAACCACUAUAAAUUUUGUGUGCAAUUUUCUCUUCUCUUAACUCUUUUCAACUUUAUCUGUUGCAUUUUUUAAGUUUCUCCAAAAUCUGUUCCAUCUCAUAUCCCAUUUUUGACAAACAAUGUGGCUCGUCCCUUGAAAGGUUUGUCACUUUAUGAUCUUGCGGCCCUUUGUGUGGAAGGAAGGACCUCUGUUUUGGCAUUCAAUGUUCACAUUUGUCCCAUUUGGCUUGAAAUUGUUAUAGGCUUAGAGAUUUUUGCCCAUUCUUCCUACCACAAAGGAAUCCCAUGCCAAUCGCAUUGAUACCUAAUCUAUUUACCGCUGCUAAUUUCCGUUGAUCCAUCUAUUUACAAUACGUGCUCGAUUUCCAUGUUCCAGCUAAUUGAGUCCGAACCAUUUGGCGAGAAGAAAGCUGCCACCAAUUGGCGAUUUCUUUCUUUUUCUUCGUUCUAAGUUGAUAAGUCCGCCUUUAAUUUGAAUGAAUGUGAUCGAGAGAUGAGAUAUUAGCAUCAUGUUAAUGGUAGCCAUGGCAAAUAUGAUAAGAAUGUCAUGCAAUUCCAGGUCAUGUUUAAGUCCUAACUUUAGAACAUGUUCUUCAGAAACACUUAGACAACGUGUAAGAUUGAAAAUCAAUUUAAAUAAAUAAUUUUUGAUUUAAUAAUGUUAUUUGGACUUACGAUCUUUUUUCUUCAUACAACUUUGUCUAAAAUGGUAGUCGAAUCAAACAUCGAUAAAAACUACCAUUUUUUUUUUUGGCAAUUUUGAGAUUUAAUUUUCUAUUUUUGUGUAUCUUUAGUUAUAUACCGUUUAGAAGAAAACCACCGAAAACAUANNNNNNNNNNNNNNNNNNNNNNNNNNNNNNNNNNNNNNNNNNNNNNNNNNNNNNNNNNNNNNNNNNNNNNNNNNNNNNNNNNNNNNNNNNNNNNNNNNNNNNNNNNNNNNNNNNNNNNNNNNNNNNNNNNNNNNNNNNNNNNNNNNNNNNNNNNNNNNNNNNNNNNNNNNNNNNNNNNNNNAUUGGGGAAGACGGAACGUAUAUCUCAUUGAAGGAUAGAUUUGCUGUUACGUGAGAAACUGCAUGAUUAUGUCGUCACGGUGGAAGGAGGAAGAAGAAGCCAUGUUCUAACGAUUUCAAGCUCGGGAAGAGAGAGAGAGAGAGAGAGAGAGAGAGGAGGUUGCAAUCGUGAUCGUGUUUAUGAGAAAGCAAAGGUAUAUUAUGGAAAGGAAAAUGGGGAAAUUGUAAAUAGAUGGACAACACGCUAAAUAAGGGUGCAAAACUGUAAUUUUCUUUUCUAAAAGAAGAGAUAUAUAAGUGGGCAUUUAGAUGAAAAUUCAUAUAUGUUUUCGACAUUUUCCUUUCAUUAUAUUUUUGUAAGCAGCGCCAACAAAAUAUUACUACAUUAGCAUUAGAACUGACUAAUUUCUAGAAUGAAUUGAAGGCCCUUUAACAUUCAAAUAAAGCCCCUGAAAAGGCUUGUCAUGCCUAGAUGAAACAUCGCAAUUUGUGCGUGUGCGCACUUGAGAAUUUGUACGAAGACCAGACUUUUAGAGACAAUUCGCGUAAAGAUUAUAUCUCUGGAAACGAUAUUCCGAUGCACAAAACCUUAAGCAUAUUCCAGCAAAAAUAAUAACUUCUUUAGCGGGAGCAAAAACAGUGAUUUGAUGAAUACCAAGUUCAUAAUAAUUUAGCUGGCAGAGAAUUGAUUUACAUGGUGAUAGUUAGAUGAUGUUGUGAGAAAAGUACAAUAGUCUGUUGAAGCGAUUAGCGGAUCAGGUCUGACCGUAGUUAAGAUUUUGCUGAGUGAAUGCAUGCUUUGAUUCUUGUUCGGAUCAAGGUCCCAUUUCUAGUUUCUUCUUUUGAGUCAAAUGCUAAUUAUCAAGCAACCAUUGGAGAUCCAAAGAAAUUGACUGGAUGGCAUGAGAGUCAGGUACCGGAAGUAAUCUGUAUCACGUAAGUGUGGGGGAAUAAAAAUAUUCACAACAAAUACUGCGGAUUGACCGUGUAUCUCGACAGAACGGCGGCUUCACAGCGCAUUCAACACGCCCAGGACAGUGACCUCUGCUUCGACCAGGCAAGCGUCGUUCAUCAUAUAGCCGUACAGAUAACGUAAACUGAUAUGCGAAAUGAAUUUGCCCCAACCCCGCUGCUGGUCCGAGGCGCUGAACCAGUGAUUAGCUGCAUGAGAGUGAGAGAGGACGCGUUUCAAAUGUCAAAAACAAGAAUUCAAUCGCUCGUAGGUUGUUUUCUUGCAAGAAAUGGUUACCAUUGCCAGUGACAUUAUUUCCUUGAAGCUGAUCCAUGACACGCAGCGAGAAGCCAGCAAAUACUUUAGUGCCAGGAGGAAGGGUGUCUGUGUCGGCAGAAACUAGAAAACAGGGAGACAAAACCUUCGAGUCCGCUUCCUUUCCCAUUCGGAUAGAGCCGUAUUUUCCUGAAUGAAUGACACACAACAUCAAUGUAUUCUGGUUUUCUUUGCUUCACCAAUUUAAUCGAAGAAUAGGGUUAUUCACUAGCAUAAAUGCCCAAUCCCGUUCCUUCCAGGAAGGACAGAGGGUACUGAACUUGGUGUUGCAGUAAAAGUUUUAAACUGUGUUUCCUCCAUCUCCGGCAGGAAAAACAUGCCUCUACUGUUGGGUUACAAAUGUCGUAAUGUCCAUGUUUUUAACCUACCAAUCAGAAGACUCGAUAAACUUUUAUUGGAAAAAUAUGACCCAAAAUACAUUAGUCAAGAAAGUUCAUUUCUCUCCAUGUUCGGUAUAGCAGCAUUUCACAAGUCAAGUGAGUAGAGGACGUUAAUAUUCAAUUUUAAGCCGCAUGCCUAUAUGAUGAAGGUCGAGAGCGAUACCAUUUAUAGUUUCCGGCCAUGAAUACUUUCGAGUCGUAGAAUUCCUUGUCCAAUUUCCAGAAGUUGUCGACCUUCCACACGUGCUUCUGACUGAUUGCGCCCUUUAUCAUCAACAGGUUCUCUCCUUGGCCGGUGCUCUUUUCAUUCGUAACAGAGACUUCCGCACCGAAGACGCAAGUAUCGUCCAUGAGAUAUCCGUUCCGCGCAUCGUUAAGCGUCUUCAGAGGAAUGAAUUGGUCGAAUCCACAUUCGAGCUUCAUCC